rnacentral:rRNA from 1 species
UGGGGAAUAUUGCGCAAUGGGCGAAAGCCUGACGCAGCAACGCCGCGUGAGUGAAGAAGGCCUUCGGGUUGUAAAGCUCUUUUGUCAGGGAAGAAACGGUAGUAGCGAAUAACUAUUACUAAUGACGGUACCUGAAGAAUAAGCACCGGCUAACUACGUGCCAGCAGCCGCGGUAAUACGUAGGGUGCAAGCGUUAAUCGGAAUUACUGGGCGUAAAGCGUGCGCAGGCGGUUGUGUAAGUCAGAUGUGAAAUCUCCGGGCUUAACUCGGAACGGUCAGAUGAUACUGCUUUGCUAGAGUGCAGAAGGGGCAAUCGGAAUUCUUGGUGUAGCGGUGAAAUGCGUAGAUAUCAAGAGGAACACCUGAGGUGAAGACGGGUUGCUGGGCUGACACUGACGCUGAGGCGCGAAAGCCAGGGGAGCAAACGGGAUUAGAUACCCGGGUAGUCCCUGAGCGGGCUGGCAAGGCGCAU